UUGCAGGCCUUUGGCUGUUUUCUGGAGGAGAUUUUAUAGAAGAAUUAUCUUCACAGGAAGAUUUGAAUGGGAUUUGAAAUGACAUGUAGCUGUCUCAGUGAGAAAACAGAAUCAUUUCCAGAAUUCUAAAGGAGAGAAUGGGAUCACAUGAUCAUCCCUAACCACAGGAAGGCUGGGUACAAAUCUGCCAUUGUCAGCCAUGAUGAUCCAAGACCAUGUGGAGACAAGACCUCAGACUGGGGCCCUGACUACUCUACACACAUUUGACUUUAAUCUUUC